UACGGGGGGGGCAAGCGUUGUUCGGAAUUACUGGGCGUAAAGGGUUCGUAGGUGGCUGGCUAAGUCAGACGUGAAAUCCCUCAGCUCAACUGGGGAACUGCGUCUGAGACUGGUCAGCUUGAGUGCAGGAGAGGAACGCGGAAUUCCAGGUGUAGCGGUGAAAUGCGUAGAUAUCUGGAGGAACACCGGUGGCGAAGGCGGUGAGCUGGGCAGUAGCUGACACUGAGGCGCGACAGCGUGGGGAGCAAACAGG
rnacentral:rRNA from 1 species